rnacentral:rRNA from 1 species
GAUGAACGCUGGCGGCGUGCCUAAUACAUGCAAGUCGAGCGAACAGACGAGGAGCUUGCUCCUCUGACGUUAGCGGCGGACGGAUGAUUAACACGUGGAUAACCUACCUAUAAGACUGGGAUAACUUCGGGAAACCAGAGCUAAUACCGGAUAAUAUAUUGAACCUCAUUGUUCAAUAGUUGAAUACGGUUUUUCUUUCACUAAUAGAUUAAUCCGCCGCUCAUUAGCUAGUUGGUAAGGGAACUGCUUAGCAAGGCGACGAUGCGUAGCCGACCUGAGAGCGUGAAUGCACAGCCUGGAACUGAGAAACGGCACACACACCUACGCGAGGACGCAGUAGAGACUCUUACGCAAUGGGCGAAAGCGUGACGGAGCAACGCCGCGUGAGUGCUGAAGGUCUUCGGAUCGUAAAACUCUGUUAGUAGGGAAGAACAAAUGUGUAAGUAACCAUGAACGUAUUGACGGUACCGAAUGAGAAAGCCACGGCUAACUCCGUG